rnacentral:lncRNA from 1 species
GGAAGGAAGGAAGGAAGGAAGGAAGGAAAGAGGAGAGAGAGAGCGUGUGCGCGCUGUUUAUAUAGAAAUUCUAAAUUUUACUCCCCAAACAAUCAGAGACAGGGAGUAGUGAGCAGCGGAACGCAGCAGAGAAAGGGAGGCUGGGGGAGGGAAGAGUCACAAAACAGUGGGAGAGGAAGCAAAAAGCAAGCGUCCGGGAACCGGAGGCCUGCUGGGUGCGGGGUCUGCAUGCCUAGUCUCCCUCGGACUCUGGGCUGUACACGGUGGGCACCAGAAGUGAGACUCGGCCAAGCCCUGCCGUACCAGGUGGCCAUGGAAUGGUGUAGCAGAUUGCUGCAGAUGGUUUCAAUAGUUCUGCUGAAUGCUCCUUGUUUGUGCCUGCAAGAGGAACUCAAGGCUUUAUGUAUGGCCAUUGCUGUGACCUAGUGUGAUGCUCUACUUUUCCACUGAACUCUGCUUGCUCUAACUGAGGACCUUAGCUAUAAUUUAGCCUUUUCUUUUUAUAUUAAGCUGUUGUUGAGGAAGGAGCUUUGGCAAUAGAAGAAACCAAGCAGCAGGUUAAUUUCCACUGUUGACACAACUGGAAACGGAUCCCUACUUUAUGCAUUGGAGAUGCUAUGAAGACUACUCUGUCUGAUGUUUCCCUAUUGGGAUAGUGAAGUAUGAUGCUUCAUUGGUUGAGUGUAUGCAAUCAAAGUAAGAGUGAAAAAGGAAGAUCUGAGGAGUGGGCAGAUGCCUGCCGGGUAAACUAUUUGUGGCAUAAACUUGAGGACCCCACAGGAAAGCCAGAUGUUGUCAUGUGCUUCAAACCACAAUUCUGCUAUUGAAUGGGGGAUUACUGGUCAGUGACUAGCCAAAAUGGUGAGCUUCAUGUGCUGAGAGAACUACCUAUCUCAAAAAAAUAAGGUGAAAGGGCUAGAGAGGUGGCAAAGUAGCACUGACUGAUCUCUCAGAGGAGAACGUGGAUUCAACUCCUAGCACCCACAUAGCAGCCAACAACCAUCUGUAACUCCAGUCUCAGGGGAUUUAGUGCCUUCUUAUAUCCUCAGUGAACACUGCACAUAUAUUGUGCAUAGACAUACAUUCAGUCAAACAAACACUCAGACACAUAAAAAUAAAUGAAAUCUCAAAAUAUUUUAAAAAGAUAAUGUGGAGGGUGAUUGAGGCCUUAUAUUAAUCUUUAGACUUUACAAAAUGAGUUUUACACACACACACACACACAGAAAACACACAAACACACUAUAUGUACACACACAUAUAUACACUGACACACACACUUGAAAAAUUGUUAUUGCUUAAAAUUUUUUUGAUAACUUGUCUCAGAAUUUUUAUUAUUGAUUUUAUUAUAAUAUUAAUUUUUAGUCUACAGUAAAUCUUUAUGCUGGAACUAGACUUCAGGAUUAUUAUAAGAUAUAUUUAAUGUAUAAAUUUGAGUUCAUAAUUGUGAGAAUAAUUCUUUUAUGGUUGUGGUAAUAAAGUAUCAUUAUCUUCUUAGAUCUAA